GAAGUGUAGUCCUUGUCUGCCAUGUCCAUGGACGGCACAACACGCUGAGAACUGCAGCCGAUUCUAGUGAACAGGCAGCAAAAAAAACAACAGAAACCUAGAGUCUGCUGACACGAAAAACCAAGUUCUGCUCACUCCCGAGUUGCUGACAUGGAAAACCGAGUUCUGCUCACUCUCGAGUUGCUGACAUGGAAAACCGAGUUCUGCUCACUCUCGAGUUGCUGACACGGUCAACCAAGUUCUGCUUAUGCCAGAGUUGCUAACACAGUCAACCAAGUUCUACUUACUCCCGAGUUGCUAACACGGUCAACCAAGUUCUGCUCACGCCCGAGUCCGCUGGCACCGCCAGCCAAGUUCUGCUUAUGCUUGAGACUGACAACACAGCCAACCAAGCAAUGGGUACACCUGAGUCUGGUGGCACGGCCAACCAAGUUCAGCCUGCAGAGUCGAUAGAGAAGGACGCUCAGCCUCUCUGCAUGAUUGAGGACGCCACUCAGCAUCUUUAUACAGCUGAGGACGCUGCUCAGUCUCCCUGCUCCACUGAGGACUUCGCUCUGCCUUCCUGCUCUGAUGAGGACGUCGCUCUGCCUUCCUGCUCCGAUGAGGAUGUUGCUUUGCCUUCCUGCUCCGAUGAGGACGUUGCUCUGCCUUCCUGUCCCGCUGAGGACGUCGCUCUGCCUUCCUGUUCAGCUGAAGAUAUUUUGCCCAGAAGGCCAGGAUGGCCAGGGGAGGGGAGUGUGUUCUGGUGGUUCUGUCACGAUUUCCUCUCGAGCUAGCGCUAGCUAGCAUGCAGCGUUUUCGGUAACCCGAAGCACGAGCUUGAUUUUCGGAGACCUCGACUUUGUUUACUUUCGACACAUGCAUUUGUUAUGGUUUAUGUCCUGUCUCCACUCCUGUAUUGUCAUUGGUUGUUUCCCGUAGGUGUCAUCAUUAGUCUCAGCUGUUUUGUGAUCACCCUUGAUUACAUUUGUCAUUUAAACCCUUCAUGUUUCUUUGUACUUCGCGAAGUAUUACGUGAGUUUCCGUAUACCAAGCAUUUGUUUCUCAGUUCGUGUUAUUAUUUUGAUCUUGUUCUCACCCUCAUUCUCGAUUGCAGUUUUGCCUAGUUUGUGCCUGUUUGCCAAUCGCCUGACCCAUUGCCUGUUUUUUGACCAUGCUACUGUCUCAUGAUUCGGAUUUGUCUGCC
ensembl:lncRNA